AAAGGGACACUGAAUGCACCACUCAGGCGUGGUUUCCUCUCAUCGGUGUGUCAGCUUAGAUACAUGCAGUCAUUUAUUUACCGGUGGACACUUCACCACCAAACUUUGAGAUCCGGGCAGGGAUACCGAAAACCAGAAAAGGGCCUUGAAUGUUUCAUCCCAGCACUUUUACCUCGAGGCCGUGUGGCUGCGCCGCUGAAGCUUUGAAAAGGAUAGGAAGAGAUUCGUGUCAGGGUUCAUCCACAGGUGCACAUCUGCAUCCACCCAAAACGCCUCCGCGAGAGUGGAAGACAGAGCCUCCGGUCAGCUCGGUGCAGAGAAAACCCUGAACCGGUGAAACAUCAGCAGCUUCGAGCUCACACGUCAGCGAGGCAGAAAGCCUGCACAGGUGUGCUUUUCAGGGACAUUUCAAAGCUCAACUGCAAACAGGACAGAAGCAUCACCUCCUGAUGUCUUCGUGGUGACCUUGAAGACGCUUGCAGAGGACCUGAGGGUGCGUGAAAUGAUAAAUCAUCUGUCAUUCUUCGCCGGUGGAGGAAAAGUUGCAGGCGCACCUGACAGCUAAUAUCCCUCAGGUGUUGCCUUUGGGGGCUUGAACGGAGUGUUUUUCUCCACUGUCAGUUAUGACACGGUGACGGAGGAGGGCCUGUCGCGUCCCGACACAAUAUGACACAAAGGAUGAAACCUGCUGUGGCUAAAAAUAAACUCCUCGAUGAGAACAGGAUGAUUUCGAAACACAAGGUGAAACAGAGACAAUGAAAACCUGCCGGCGAGCAAAGCAAGUCUCCACAAGUCUGAUGUGUUUCCCUGAGACGAGGUGAAACCAGCUGCUGCUUGGAAGGCAGGAGAAAAAGGCAAUAAAUCUUUCCAGAGUGCUGUCAUCAUUUUUUUAUAUGUCAAAUACAUGUAGUGGAGUACAACAUUACUCACUAAAAAUGAAGUGACAAAUUAUAAGUACCUCAAAAUUGUACAGUCAGUGUUUUUGUUUUCAUUCACCAGCACGACUGUAGCCGUCCACAAAAGAAAAAAGUCACAAAGACAAGAACACAUUAAGACAA